CGGCAGAAAACAAAUAGCGGAGGAGACUGAGGCAGAGAUGGAUAACACUUAACAACACCACAUCAAUUUCCAGGUGUACUUGUACGACAAACUUCAGAUAUUUCGACAUCUUCUGUGGUUGCAUCAAAUGCUGUGAUUGCUCGACACCUUGCCAAACUCGAGGAAGGCAUCAAGGAACUGCAAUUAAACCAAAAAGAAAUAUUGGAAAGACUACGCUCUGGAGCAACUGCGACGGCUGUAGCUGUUGGUUAUCAAGCCCUGUCCCUGCCAGAAGGAGUCAAUUUACCAUGCACCCAGAUCGAAGAGAUUAAAAAGAUUGAUGUCUGGCUAACAGUGGACGAAAAUUACAUGCUACUUGUUAACCACUUGAGCUAUGUAGGCGGUAACAAAACAUCAGCAAUAUUAAGGAGGAUUCUUGAAAAACUGUUUUCAAACAAACUUGCGGAAAUCUGUAAUUGGUCAGGCAAAAAUGGAAAACAUAAGCUACAAGAUCACCUUUUAAUUAAAGUUGUUACUGAAGCUCUCCGUCGGCACAAAGUCGCCGAAACGGCUACAGAAAACGAGAUAAAGACCGUGGUUAGCAACUGGUUCCGCUUCUCCAAAGAUAGAGAUGGAGGUCGAGAAAGCAGACGCAGGACAAUUGAGCCAACUUCUAUCCAGCAAUAAUCAACGUUACACAGGGCUGUCAACUAGAAAUAAGAAAAGACAUUUAGCCUUAAAGAUACAAGAAAUAUCUGUAGAGUUAAACGGGCUCAGUGGGGAAACUAGUCCACCUAAUCAACCAUAUACUGUAGAUGUCGGUAACAGUAAUUUUACUCGUGAAUCAAACUAUACAAAU